rnacentral:rRNA from 1 species
UACGGGGGGAGCAAGCGUUGUUCGGAUUUACUGGGCGUAAAGGGCGCGUAGGCGGCCACCGCAAGUCGACUGUGAAAUCUCCGGGCUUAACCCGGAAAGGUCAGCCGAUACUGCGGGGCUAGAGUGCAGAAGGGGCAACUGGAAUUCUCGGUGUAGCGGUGAAAUGCGUAGAUAUCGAGAGGAACACCUGCGGCGAAGGCGGGUUGCUGGGCUGACACUGACGCUCAUGCACGAAAGCGUGGGGAGCAAACAGG